GGGCCUAAAGGAGCGUGGCACGUGGCCUGAGAAAAUCUGUGUAUGUAACCACGCGAGUCAGCCACGGAAGGACGCUGAAUACGAAAGACUGCGCUUAACACACAAAAGCACCGAGAACCGAGGAGGAGGUUCUACACCCAGCCAGGAACCCAACACCAGGUUUGAACCCAUGACACCGAGAUCAAGAGUCAGAUGCUUAACCACCUGAGCUAGCCACUCAGGUGCCCUGGAUUUCGACAUUUAUUGUAUCUCUUGCCAUAAAGAGUUUAAAUUCGCGAAAUGCACAGUGCCAGACACAUAGUAAAUGCUAUUAUUGUAAAUAAAUAUAACAAUUUCUAAUUUCAUAAA